AAACAAUUUCUGUGAUUUAUAAUCCAAAUGUCACCGUUGAAAAUUAUGAAACAGUUGGAUGAGCCUUGCCCUCAAGUGCUUCUUUUCCACUUCUACUCAAAUGAGUGACCGCGACAAGGACUGGGUGCCCGUGGCGGCUGGCAUAGUCCUCGGGCUGGGGGUCUUAGCUCUGCUCUACAAGUACUGGGGCGGCAGCCGCUCGUACAAAAAGGGCGUCAACCAGCAGAUGGGCUAUCCGUUCCAGUGCAAGUGCGAGUCCAAGUCUAAGUGCCCGCACAGGUGAAGACACGUGACAGUUAUCCAGGCAAAGAGAAGAAUGACAGCGUCUUUUUGACAUAAAAAAUAAUUUCAAGUGCAAAAAAAUGUAAACUGAAUAAAAUUAUCGUGCGAUUUAAGUGUUUCAAUAAAUAAAAAAAUAGAAAAUUAGAUGCGAGUAUGAGUUUCGGGUAGUUGUUUCAGUUCUGCGACAAUGUUGCCGUGUAGAUGUAAAACAGUAUUGCCUUGUGACUGGUGGGUUCAUUUAAAUAGUUUGCUGGUAGUCCGCUGACGACAUGUGCACAACUUUGUCUCAAAAUUUAAGGUGACCAGAACACAGUAGUGCGGAGGAACUAAAACGGAGAACAGCAGUCAGAGACGGAAAAGGAGAAGGCGGUAUUGAAAGCGGAGGCAAGAGCGUCAUUGAAAGCGGAGGCAAAAGCGGCAUUGAAAGCGGAGGCAAAAGCGGCGAUGGGGCAAGUGGGUUCAGCGGUGCAAUUGUAAGCGGUAGCGGCAGCGUUAGCGGCGGCAUAGGCGAUGGCGGCAGCGUUGUGGGCAGUGGAGCAGGGGCUGGGGCGGGUGAAAAGGGGGGAUUUAUGCAGAGACUUCGGUUCAUGUUUGACAGAAUCUACAACUACCUAGGCCCUAUAGGUCUCUGGAACGCGACCCUAGCUCUUCUUCUGUUAGGGUACUACGGAAGGUAUCGCUUCUGGAGCUCCAGCGGGCACGGUAGAGGAGGUCUUCUACCAGGUGGCCGAGUAGGGGGGAUAGGGGGCAAGUGUCCACCGAAGAAGAAAGUGGAACCGCCGCCGCCCUGCUGCGCGAGCUGCAAGUGUUUUGAUCAGCCUAGGAUUUUGAAGCACCGAUUGAAAUGGCCCGAAGACCCAAAGCCCUGCCACUGAUCGUGAAGAUAAAUACUACUACAAAAAAUCAAGAUAACCAAAGAAAUAAAAGUUUUAGAGGCAGCACCAAUCUACAAGGUUUUCCCAAAAAAUCCAAAAAUACUCAAAUUAAUCAAGCUUUAAUGAUUUGAAGACAAGUUACAUUUCUAGAAAGUGCAAUCAAAUUUCAACCUUAAAUCGGAAUGCUAAAGUUGAAAUUCUAUUGGCAUGUAUGUGGUCGAUAAAUCGUACUACGCCUGGAAAAAGGGUAAAAAGGAUUUUUUUUCAUGUUAACUUACUGCAAAAAAUGCCAAGGAACAUUUUUCAUAAAGUUAA